GUAAGAGACUUGCCUACUUGGCACACUGACGUAUAGUCAGUGGGUGGCCUAUACCCUAUGGCCAUCUCUUAC
rnacentral:tRNA from 1 species